CCAACUUCCAACUUCCCAAGAAGUUGUGAUGAAGAAGGGGAGAAGUCUUUGAACUAAAGGAGAAAGGAAUGAGAAAGUGAUUUGGGAAGAGAUUAGGUUGGUGUCUAAGGGCCAGAGAGUGAAUAUUCCAAAGAGCAAUUAAAAAAAAGGGGUUAGAGAUAAAGAAGGAAAAUUACUUAACCUGAAAGAAAAUUACUCUGAAGACAAAAGAUUAGAGAAGAAAAGGACUCCAAAAUAUGAAGGGGAAUAUAUGGAGGCCAAAUCUCCUACUUGUUUUCCUGCUUGACAUUUGACAUUCUCAAUCUGGCAUCAGCUGAUUACAUAUUAUUCCUCCUGGUCUGGAAGGCAAAGCUUCUUAAACUGUAGGUUGCAACCCCACAUAACUGAAUGUGAGGGUAGGAAAAUUUGGUAAUGUAAAUGGUAUCAAAUAUUCCUCCAAGAGUUCAUUCUUUAUGUAAAAAUAAACAAGCACAUCCAUCUGGUUGUAUGCAAAUUAGCUUUGGCCUUUAAUGAUAAAAUUACAUGUGAUCAAAAAUGAUUUUUAAAUAAAUUUCCUUAUGAUUUAUUAUCAGUAAA